UUAGAGACAGGGUCUCACUGAGCUGCUUAGCUCCUCGCCAUUGCUGAGGCUGGCUUUGAACUUGCAAUCCUCCUGUCUCACCCUCCCAAGCUGCCAAGAUUACAGGCGUGUACCACUGCACCCAGCAAGCUUCCAUUGGCUUCUGAUUGGAUGCCAGCUAAGAAUGGAGUUUUGCAUACAGGAUGUGUUCAAAUUUCUAACAUGUGAAUUAGGGAAAAUCAGUGGAACUUUGGAGGUGACUUGUCAGGGACUUCAUCAAUAAUAAGCCUAGUGCUUAAAUAAUUGGCUCUUCUCUGUUUGCUGGGUACAACAGGAGAUACAGAGAGGAUAGCUCAUUCCAUCCUCUCAUUGUCUUGGGAGUGUAGAUAUAUUUCCCUUUGUAGAUAAGUGUAGUUUAACAACUUGCCUGGGUCACAGUUUUUGAGGGAUAGGCAGAGUCUCAAGGCUCUGAUUCUGAAGUCCCACCUCCUCAGCAAGCCCCAUGUGUGGUCAUGUUGCACAUAAAUGUAAUUCACCCACCUCCCCCUGCACCUCUGCAGGGGCACUUGCUCAGAUACACCAGUUAAGAAAGACUUUGUUCUUCAUUUUCUCUUUUCAUCUUUGGGGCCAUCUGUGAGAUGGAUAUAAUUCCCCGUUUUAUGCACAAAGUUCGGACAAGUGAAAGAGUACCAAACUGAAAAGGGACUGAGCCAGGUGUCAGUGUUACCUGGUCCAUUCAGGACUCCACACAGAGCAGAAUUUCUCAGCCUGCUUCCCUUAGAUAUGAAGAAAGAUUGUAUGUCUCUCAUACAUACUCGUCUGGUGGGGGGCUGGGGUGGUCAUGUUGCACAUAAAUGUAAUU
rnacentral:lncRNA from 1 species